rnacentral:rRNA from 1 species
AGAGUUUGAUCCUGGCUCAGGAUGAACGCUAGCGAUAGGCUUAACACAUGCAAGUCGAGGGGCAGCAUUAUUUUAGCUUGCUAAGAUAGAUGGCGACCGGCGCACGGGUGCGUAACGCGUAUGCAACCUGCCUGUAAUUAGGGAAUAACCCGGUGAAAGUCGGACUAAUACCCUAUAUUCUUCUUUCUCCGCAUGGAGGAGGACGGAAAGAUUUAUUGAUUACAGAUGGGCAUGCGUCCCAUUAGCUAGUUGGUAAGGUAACGGCUUACCAAGGCAACGAUGGGUAGGGGGACUGAGAGGUUGACCCCCCACACUGGUACUGAGACACGGACCAGACUCCUACGGGAGGCAGCAGUGAGGAAUAUUGGUCAAUGGGCGAGAGCCUGAACCAGCCAAGUCGCGUGAAGGACGACGGUUCUAUGGAUUGUAAACUUCUUUUGUAGAGGAAUAAUGGCAGCUACGUGUAGCUGAGAUGCAUGUACUCUACGAAUAAGUAUCGGCUAACUCCGUGCCAGCAGCCGCGGUAAUACGGAGGAUACGAGCGUUAUCCGGAAUUAUUGGGUUUAAAGGGUGCGUAGGUGGCGUAUUAAGUCAGUGGUGAAAAGCUGCAGCUCAACUGUAGUCUUGCCGUUGAAACUGAUAUGCUAGAGAGGAGACGAGGUAUGCGGAAUGUGUGGUGUAGCGGUGAAAUGCAUAGAUAUCACACAGAACGCCGAUUGCGAAGGCAGCGUACCAGGCUCCGUCUGACACUGAAGCACGAAAGCGUGGGGAUCAAACAGGAUUAGAUACCCUGGUAGUCCACGCAGUAAACGAUGAAUACUAGAUUUUUGCGAUAUAGUGUAAGAGUCUAAGCGAAAGCGAUAAGUAUUCCACCUGGGGAGUACGCCGGCAACGGUGAAACUCAAAGGAAUUGACGGGGGCCC